rnacentral:tRNA from 1 species
GGAGCGGUGUCCGAGUGGUUGAAGGAGGCGGUCUUGAAAACCGUUGUACUGCGAGGUACCGGGGGUUCGAAUCCCCCCUGCUCCG